GACGAACGCUGGCGGCGUGCUUAACACAUGCAAGUCGAACGGAAAGGCCCUGCUUUUGUGGGGUGCUCGAGUGGCGAACGGGUGAGUAACACGUGAGUAACCUGCCCUUGACUUUGGGAUAACUUCAGGAAACUGGGGCUAAUACCGGAUAGGAGCUCCUGCUGCAUGGUGGGGGUUGGAAAGUUUCGGCGGUUGGGGAUGGACUCGCGGCUUAUCAGCUUGUUGGUGGGGUAGUGGCUUACCAAGGCUUUGACGGGUAGCCGGCCUGAGAGGGUGACCGGCCACAUUGGGACUGAGAUACGGAGCAGACUCCUACGGGAGGCAGCAGUGGGGAAUAUUGCGCAAUGGGCGGAAGCCUGAUGCAGCAACGCCGCGUGCGGGAUGACGGCCUUCGGGUUGUAAACAGAUUUCGCCUGUGACGAAGCGUGAGUGACGGUAAUGGGUAAAGAAGCACCGGCUAACUACGUG
rnacentral:rRNA from 1 species